AGGUCGCAAGCUCUCUUGUCAAUAUGUACUCUUAAAGAGAAUUACGCUGUUAUCCUUAAGGUAACUUUUUCUUUUGCUCAGAAACUUCUGGGUCCAUCUAUAUUAGNGGGGGAUCAUUAUAUUAAUCCCCUGUUAUAAAAGAGGGGAGGUUGCCCCAACCAAACCUUUUAUUAUAACAAUUUAUUAUUUUAAGGUAAAGCUCUAUAGGGUCUUCUUGUCCCACUUACUAAUUAAGGUCUCUUCACCUUAAAAUCAAUUUCGAGUUAAAUAAAGAGAGACAGUCUCUCUGUCGUCUAGCCGUUGAUACUAGCCUGCAAUUAACAGGCGAAUGAUUAUGCUACCUUUGCACAGUNCAGUAAUACUGCAGCCGUUUAUACUAUUGUCACCGGAGACAGGACAGNAAGCGG
rnacentral:rRNA from 1 species